GGGGUGGCAGCGAGGAGAGGCAGAAGUCACAGGGCUGAGAGCACCGCGCCGGCGCUCGGGAGGGCUCAGCCGUCAGGUUUCAGUGCCUCGGGUGGACCGCGGGGUGACUGGGCUCAAGGGAAUGGCGGAUUAGUCGGGCUCAGCAAGUCGGCGGCUGCGGCGCUGGACCCAGGCCCGAGCUCAGGAUUGACUACCCCACGUCCGGGAGACCCGAACCCAUACCUCGCGGUGAAUCCGAUCCAAACCCGGGCCUUCUCCCGCCCGGCACCGCCCUCCCCCGCCGGCGGAGGCAGCGACCGGAAGCAGCCGCCCAGAGGACUGCUCGCACCCAGCACGUGAUCCAGCGGCGGGCAGCACGCUAUGCGCAUGUGCGAGGCGGGGCUCCCUGACAGGUUUUCAGUACCUCACACCUACCUGGGACUGUGACCCUUGCCAGGCAUAUUGUAGACCUGACCUCAUGGAAUUCUCACCAUGAUCCAAGAGAUAAGUAUUACAGUCUUAAUCCCAUUUUUUAGAGGUGAAACUGAGGUUCGGGAUAACUUUCCUAUCACCUUUCACUUGCCUACUAAGUUUUAGGAACCAAAAUUCAAACUAUAGUCCUGUAUCUGACUGUAUUACCCUUUUAAUUACCCAAAUCUGCUUGCUCCCUGAAUCAAUUAAUGUUACUUUGUAUAUAAGCUUAAAUACUCAUGGCCUUCUAAGUAAUUAGAUAAUAAGGUGGUUAAAGAAUCUUUCCAAACUCUUUUUUGGUGCUUUAUUUUUAAAGGACUUCCUAAAAUCCCCUUCAUCCUCAGAGCAUGCAGUGUUCAGCCUCACACAGCAGGCACUCGGCAAAGACUUGCUGACCCGCUUGUGGAUGCAGCUAGGGGCUCCCCAGCAGUGACUUACCUUCCUGGCCACCAACUGGAUGGCAUCAUCCUCAAAGGCCUUUAAAUGCUUGAGUCGAGACACUAGGAUCUGCUGCAGUUGACUGUGUGUGUAGGGCUGGAAGGACAUCCUGGUAAGGCCCUGGGGAGCCCAGAUGACAGAGGAAUAAGUUCAUUAACUGCCCACUGAUUGCCCAGGUGGAAGAUCAUCUUCAGGCUUCCGAACCCAAUUCCCAAGUUCUGCGUAACAAUUUGCUCAUUUCUUUGGGACCACCGCUGCAGCCAGCUACCGUCAUUAUCGCCAUGACAAUGACCGGUGGCAUCCUACAGGGCAGUAGUUCUCAAACUACUUUUUGUUUUAAGAACCUUUUAUUCUGCCAGGAUCAUUUGGAAUUAGAUAGAAGCAGAGGUGCUCUAAUUAACCUAGGGAGGAGGAUGUCAGGAUCUCCCCUGAUCACACAGCCCCUGGCUUCCUUUAUCAGGCUCUUCACGACUGGAUGUUGUACUUCCUGUUCAAUCGUCAGGCCUGUGAAUGCAGACUGCAUCUGACUGGCUCACUGCUCUACUCCAAGCAUCUAGCAGGUAGUGGGUAGUAAGUGCUUAAUUUUUUUUUUUUGGUACUGGAGAUCAAACUUGGGACCUUGCACUUGCGAGGCAGGCAGCAGCACCACUGUGCUAAAUCCCCUGCUCAGUGCUUAAUAAUUUUAAAGGUAAUCAGCCAGGCAUGGUGGCACAUGCGUGUAAUUCCAGGACUUUGGGAGACUUGCAACAGGAUUGCAAGUUCAAGCCCAGCCUGUGCAACUUAGUGAGAUAAAAAAUUUUGAAAGGACUGGGAUGGGGGCCGGGGAUUUAGCUCAGUGGUUUCACCGCCUGCUGCGCAAGCACAAGAACCCGAGUUCGAUCUCCCGUACCAAAAAAAAAAAAAAAGACUGGGAUGUAGCUCAGUGCAUAGGCCCUGAGUUUAAUUCCCAGUACACACACACACAUACACACACACACCACACCCAAAACAAAGUAAAACAGAACAAAACAGAAAGAAUACUCUGCAUAUCUCUGCACAGUUUAAAAGUGUAGAAGUAAUGGAAUACCAAGAUAUGGUAUGUGCAGAAAAUCAUGCAAUGGAGUUUUCUUCCAACAUGGAAAUUACACGCAUGGCAGAAACUAUUUUUGUUUCCAUUUUUGCAGAACGCCUUGGCCCAGCUUACAAACCUGUUCGCACACCUUGAGAACUACCUAGGACCUACCAAUCGGCUCGACACCCGGCUCAUCAUGAUCCUCUCGGGCAGAUCCAUGGUGUUGGCAAUGGUGAGGACCACCAGGCGAGCCUCCUUGUGAGUGGGCCAGUCAAACAGAUUAUACAUGACAUCUUGCUUGUGAGUCCACAGAAGGUCAAGCUGCCAGGAAAGAGGACAGAAAUGCUGGGUCGGGCAGAACGACUGAGACAGGGCGGGGUAGAAGCCCGUUACCACUGCUCUUGCUGCAUGCUCUGCUCCGGUCACCCUAUCAAAGCAGCAAGGAAAUCGGUGAACAACUCAGAAGAAUGCAGAAGGGAGUCAGCACUCUUGCCCAUCCAGCAUCCACUCCGGGGAUGUUAUAGUCAGUGCUGCCCAUUUCUGUCCACCUCCUGGGUGCACCUCACCUCAUCCACAAGCAGGACAGUGGUUUCCUGUGGGGACCGUCGGGUACAGAAUUGUUUUGCCAGAAGUGCUGCUGCAUGGUUAGCUGUUGCCUUCUGGCCUGUCAGCUUCUGCAUUGGGGGAAAAACAGCCAUGGUAAACAAGCUUAAAGUGAAAUCUGUAAGAGAAGCAACCUAGUCUGAGGGUUUCAGUGUCCUGUUCUCUGCCUCCCAUUCUAGUCUUAGCCUUAACCUGGAAGGACAGGACAAGUACCAGAUGAGAAGAUAAAAACCAUGUGUUUGAAAUGGAAAUGGGUCAGAGACUGGCUCCAGAAGUCCCAUGAAAAUCACCAUUGUACCAUUCUGUAACUGAACAUGACCUGUACUGAGGUAACAGUUAAUGAACGAAAGGAGAGAUUUAACCCCUGGCCUACCUCAGCCACAGUCUGCCAUCUAUGGGUUAACAGUUGUCAGCACACUAGCAAGUCCUGGCUUGCAGUCACUCACUAACCAGAUCCUAGAUCCUAAAGUCCUGA